rnacentral:rRNA from 1 species
UACGAAGGGGGCUAGCGUUGCUCGGAAUUACUGGGCGUAAAGCGCACGUAGGCGGCUUCUUAAGUCGGUGGUGAAAUCCUGGAGCUCAACUCCAGAACUGCCUUCGAUACUGGGAAGCUCGAGUCCGGGAGAGGUGAGUGGAACUGCGAGUGUAGAGGUGAAAUUCGUAGAUAUUCGCAAGAACACCAGUGGCGAAGGCGGCUCACUGGCCCGGUACUGACGCUGAGGUGCGAAAAGCGUGGGGGAGCAAACAGGG